GAGUUUGAUCCUGGCUCAGGAUGAAGCGCUAGCGGCACUCCUAACACAUACAAGUCGAGGGACGAGGUUCGGCACUUCACCGGCGCACGGGGUGCGUAACACGUGUACAAUCUACCUUUUGUAAGGGAUAGCCCGAAGAAAUUUGGAUUAAUACCUUAUAGCUAUUGUUUGGGGCAUCACUGAAUAAUUAAAGCUCUGGGGCAAAAGAUGAGUACGCGUCCCAUUAGCUAGUUGGUGUGGUAACGGCUACCAGGGCUACGAUGGGUAGGGGUCCUGAAGGGAGGUCCCCCACCUGGACUGAGACACGGACCAGACUCCUACGGGAGGCAGCAGUGAGGAAUAUUGGACAAUGGUCGGAAGACUGAUCCAGCCAUGCCGCGGGCAGGAUGACGCUUAUGGNUUGUAAACCUGCUUUUAUACAGGAAGAAUAAGGUCUACUGUAAUUGAUGANCGGUCUGGAUAAUAAGCAUCGGCUAACUCCCGUGCCACAGCCGCGGUAAUACGAGGAUGCGAGCGUUAUCCGGAAUCAUUGGGUUUAAAGGGUCCGUAGCGGGCUUAUAAGUAGAGGUAAAGCACUGCUCAACGUAGUAACUGCCUUUGAAACUGUGGUCUUGAAUGUUUGUGAAUAGCUGGAAUGUGUAGUGUACCGGGAAAUGCUAAUAUUCACAGAACACCNUUGCGAAAGCAUGUUACUAACAAUUUGACGCCUUGGACAAACUGGGGGCGAACAGAUAGAUACCCUGGGUCCACCUGUAAACGAUGGAUACUAGCUGUUUGGGUAAUUUUGGGUCUACAAUGUAUAAGUUCCCNNCCUGGGGAGUACGCACGCAAGUGUGAAACUCAAAGGAAUUGACGGGGGCCCGCACAAGCGGUGGAGCAUGUGGUUUAAUUCGAUGAUACGCGAGGAACCUUACCAAGGUUUAAAUGGGAAACGACGUAUCUAGAGAUAGAUAUUUCUUCGGACGUUUUUCAAGG
rnacentral:rRNA from 1 species